rnacentral:rRNA from 1 species
UCAGAUUGAACGCUGGCGGCAUGCCUUACACAUGCAAGUCGAACGGCAGCACGGGUGCUUGCACCUGGUGGCGAGUGGCGAACGGGUGAGUAAAGCAUCGGAACGUGCCCAACUGUGGGGGAUAACGCACCGAAAGGUGUGCUAAUACCGCAUAAGCCCCGAGGGGGAAAGCAGGGGAUCUUAGGACCUUGCGCAGAUGGAGCGGCCGAUGUCGGAUUAGCUAGUUGGUGAGGUAAAGGCUCACCAAGGCGACGAUCCGUAGCUGGUCUGAGAGGAUGAUCAGCCACACUGGAACUGAGAGACGGUCCAGACUCCUACGGGAGGCAGCAGUGGGGAAUUUUGGACAAUGGGGGCAACCCUGAUCCAGCCAUGCCGCGUGAGUGAAGAAGGCCUUCGGGUUGUAAAGCUCUUUCGGCCGGGAAGAAAUCGUGCAGUCUAAUACACUGUAUGGAUGACGGUACCGGAAUAAGAAGCACCGGCUAACUACGUGCCAGCAGCCGCGGUAAUACGUAGGGUGCGAGCGUUAAUCGGAAUUACUGGGCGUAAAGCGUGCGCAGGCGGUUUUGUAAGACAGGCGUGAAAUCCCCGGGCCCGCAAGGUUAAAACUCAAAGGAAUUGACGGGGACCCGCACAAGCGGUGGAUGAUGUGGAUUAAUUCGAUGCAACGCGAAAAACCUUACCUACCCUUGACAUGUCCAGAAUCCUCGAGAGAUUGAGGAGUGCCUUCGGGAACUGGAACACAGGUGCUGCAUGGCUGUCGUCAGCUCGUGUCGUGAGAUGUUGGGUUAAGUCCCGCAACGAGCGCAACCCUUGUCAUUAAUUGCCAUCAUUUAGUUGGGCACUUUAAUGAGACUGCCGGUGACAAACCGGAGGAAGGUGGGGAUGACGUCAAGUCCUCAUGGCCCUUAUGGGUAGGGCUUCACACGUCAUACAAUGGUCGGUACAAAGGGUUGCCAAACCGCGAGGUGGAGCUAAUCUCAGAAAGCCGAUCGUAGUCCGGAUCGUAGUCUGCAACUCGACUACGUGAAGUCGGAAUCGCUAGUAAUCGUGGAUCAGCAUGUCACGGUGAAUACGUUCCCGGGUCUUGUACACACCGCCCGUCACAUCCAUGGGAGUGGGUUUCACCAGAAGUAGGUAGCCUAACCGUAAGGAGGGCGCUUACCACGGUGGGGUUCAUG